UGGGGAAUUGUUCGCAAUGGGCGCAAGCCUGACGACGCAACGCCGCGUGGAGGUUGAAGGUCUUCGGAUUGUAAACUCCUGUUGCCCGGGACGAAAAGCUCCGACCUAACACGUUGGAGUCUGACGGUACCGGGUGAGGAAGCCCCGGCUAACUCUGUGCCAGCAGCCGCGGUAAUACAGAGGGGGCGAGCGUUGUUCGGAAUUACUGGGCGUAAAGGGCGCGUAGGUGGCCUGUUAAGUCGAACGUGAAAUCCCCGGGCUCAACCCGGGAACUGCGUCCGAGACUGGCAGGCUCGAAUCCGGGAGAGGGAUGUGGAAUUCCAGGUGUAGCGGUGAAAUGCGUAGAUAUCUGGAGGAACACCGGUGGCGAAGGCGGCAUCCUGGACCGGUAUUGACGCUGAGGCGCGAAAGCCAGGGGAGCAAACGGGAUUAGGUACCCCGGUAGUCCUGGCCCUAAACGAUGAAUGCUUGGUGUGGCGGGUAUCGAUCCCUGCCGUGCCGAAGCUAACGCAUUAAGCAUUCCGCCG
rnacentral:rRNA from 1 species